UAAUACUGAAUUAUUUAUAUUUUAAUAUAAUUCAUUAAAUGCAUAAAAUUUCUUUUUUUAAGGACUAAACCAGUGGUAAACAUAGAAAAGACCUUAACAUUAACACCGAAUACCAUUGAUUUCAAGGCUCAGGACUGCAAGAGAUAUUCAUGCCUUAUUACAGCUCAGUCCUGCUUCACUUACACUGUCCAGACAAUCACAAACUUAGGAUCAAGUACACACUAAAGGCUGAUACAGUGCGGAUAGAGAGGGGUCUUCCUUCACAAGUGGUCUUUGUGAAUUCUGAGGCUGCACAGGGAUACCAGGAACUGUCUGUCCAGGGCAAACGAGAGUGUAUCCAGACCAAGCUCAGGCUGCUGGGAGAUAUCCAGGACAAGCUGACGAGCAUUUCCAUCAGCCUUUCUGUUUCUUUGCCAUCUAAUAAUCCGAAACAGACAGUCAGAAACCUCCCUGGCUUAGAGCCGGUUCUGAACGCUCUGCAAGAAAAUGCAACCAAAGCAGAGGAAACUCAGGUGCAGUCUAACCCCAAUGAAAAUAAAACGCAGGUUGACUGCCAACUUGAAAAUCCCUUUAAAAGAGACUCUUGAGGUUUCAUUCUUCCUGAUACUUAGCGCAGAAAGGCGUCCCUUGAGAGUAACAAGCGCCAAUGUGACUGUCCCUUAA
rnacentral:lncRNA from 1 species